rnacentral:rRNA from 1 species
AUGGCUUCAGCCGGUUCCAUGAUGAGGCCGCCGUGUGCUGAUCGUGAAGACAUGCCGAACAAGUGGGAGAACGCCAAGAUGGACGAGGUGACGGAAAAAGAUAUGAAAACUCCAUCAUGUUGGUGUGGAGAUGUUUGCAAGGUGAAGGUGUCCACCGACCGCAAGAAGUCAUGGACGUAAGGGAGAAGAUUCUUUGUGUGUCCCAACUAUGCACAUGAUCGGAGGCUUCCAACAAACGCCUAUGACGUACCACCGGUAUGGUCAAAGAGUAAUCUCAAAUUUUGUCCAACUUCAACUCAUAAUCCUAACAACAAUUUUUUUUUAUCCUAUGCAGUCACCACCUCCUCUUUGCAAGUACUUCACAUGGAUAGAUCAAGAUGUUCCAGAGGAUGUCGAAAAGGACCAAUAUCAAGAUUGUCUUAG